GUUUUUCCUAAUUCAGGCAACCUUUCAGAGUCUCAUUUUGACAGUGAAGAAGACUGGUCCACCUGUGUCAUUGACCGGAACUGUGACCCGUGUCUAUGUCUCUAUCAAUCCUUAGCAAGGGGGUAUAACUGCCAUGCAUGACUUGCAUCACUGUGUGGACCACUCCUGAGGUUUCCUACUGCACCCAGAAUUUCUACAAAUAUUUCUUUGUAGAAAAGUAGCACUUUAAGAACAAAGAGGCACCAUAAAACAGCAACAGCGACCCACUGCAGAUUCUCCUCCAAACAGGAAUAUGGCAAAGGCGUGGUUCUGAUCCAGGAAGGGGAAGGAUCCCCAAGUUGUGAAGGCUGAAGAUCAAAUUGCCAAGUGGAAUCCCAUCCAUCACGGGGACCAACACCAGCCAUCUGCUCCCCACCACCACCUUCAAAGAGCGCAUGGAAGCUGGGCAGCUGGCUGGCAGCUGGAAGGAGGGCAAGAUGGCCUGGCCAG
rnacentral:lncRNA from 1 species